rnacentral:rRNA from 1 species
CCUACGGGUGGCAGCAGUGAGGAAUAUUGGUCAAUGGGCGGAAGCCUGGACCAGCCAAGUAGCGUGCAGGAUGACGGCCCUACGGGUUGUAAACUGCUUUUAUACGGGAAUAACGCGCCUUACGUGUAGGGCUUUGCAUGUACCGUAUGAAUCAGGACCGGCUAAUUCCGUGCCAGCAGCCGCGGUAAUACGGAAGGUCCGGUCGUUAUCCGGAUUUAUUGGGUUUAAAGGGAGCGUAGGCGGCUGGUCAAGCGUGCUGUGAAAUGUCCGGGCGCAACCCGGGCCUUGCAGAGGGAACUGGCGGGCUAGAGUCCGCGAAGGGCAGGCGGAAUUCGUGGUGUAGCGGUGAAAUGCUUAGAGAUGACGAGGAACCCCGAUUGCGAAGGCAGCUUGCUGCAGCGGAACUGACGCUGAUGCUCGAAAGCGAGGGGAGCGAACAGGAUUAGAUACCCUUGUAGUC